UACGGGGGGGGCAAGCGUUGUUCGGAAUUACUGGGCGUAAAGGGCUCGUAGGUGGCCAACUAAGUCGGACGUGAAAUCCCUCGGCUUAACCGGGGAACUGCGUCUGAUACUGGAUGGCUUGAGUUCGGGAGAGGGAUGCGGAAUUCCAGGUGUAGCGGUGAAAUGCGUAGAGAUCCGGAGGAACACCGAAGGCGAAGGCAGUGUCCUGGCGAGUGACUGACGCUGAGGUGCGAAAGCCAGGGGAGCGAACGGG
rnacentral:rRNA from 1 species